GAUGAAGAACGUAGCGAAAUGCGAUAAGUAAUGUGAAUUGCAGAAUUCAGUGAAUCAUCGAAUCUUUGAACGCACAUUGCGCCCGCCAGUAUUCUGGCGGGCAUGCCUGUCUGAGCGUCAUUUCAACCCUCAUGCCCCUAGGGCGUGGUGUUGGGGAUCGGCCAAAGCCCGCGAGGGACGGCCGGCCCCUAAAUCUAGUGGCGGACCCGUCGUGGCCUCCUCUGCGAAGUAGUGAUAUUCCGCAUCGGAGAGCGAUGAGCCCCUGCCGUUAAACCCCCAAUUUUCCAAGGUUGACCUCAGAUCAGGUAGGAAUACCCGCUGAACUUAAGCAUAUCAAUAAGCGGAGGA
rnacentral:misc_RNA from 1 species